GACGAACGCUGGCGGCGUGCCUAAUACAUGCAAGUUGAGCGCUGAGGGGUGGUACUUGUACCAACUGGAUGAGCAGCGGACGGGUGAGUAACGCGUGGGGAAUCUGCCUUUGAGCGGGGGACAACAUUGGGAAACGAAUGCUAAUACCGCAUAAAAUAUUUAAACACAAGUUUUAAGUUUGAAAGAUGCAAUUGCAGCCAUCAAAGAUGAUCCCGCGUUGUAUUAGCUAGGUGGUGAGGUAAAGGCUCACCAAGGCGAUGAUACAUAGCCGAACUGGGAGGGUGGAUCGCCAACAUGGGAAUGAGACAAGGCCCCAACCCCCUACGGAGGGCGCAGGAGGGGAACUUUGGCAAAGGACCGAAGUCCUAACGAGCCACCGCGGCGUAGGUGAUGAGGGUGUUCGAUUCGUAAAACCCGUUGGUAGAGGAGAACGUUGUGGGGAAUUGAAUGCGCACCAAUUGACGGUACCUACCCAGAAAGCGACGGCUAACUACGUG
rnacentral:rRNA from 1 species